GCGGCCCCUACUCCCGCGGGGGAGGUCAGCGCCCCGGCCGCCGCUCCGCACCCGCCGCCGCCGCCCUCCCUCGGCUCGCCGCGUCCCCCGGGCCGCGUCCGCAGGCUGAGCCCAGGCGGGCCGCGGCGAGCACCCCACAGCUCCGCGCCCCAGCCCGGCCCCGCUCCCAACGGAAAGUUGGGCUGCGGCGGGCUGCGUUCGGGAAAGAGCGAGGCGGCAUGAAGGGGCACCGAGGGGUCGCCUAAGACACCGGGGAGGCGGAGCCGCGCGCGGGGACAACUUCGCCCCGGGCGCGCAACCCCCGGCCGGGCUCGCGGUGGUUCCUCCCGUCCCUCGGCCUCCCCCGCCGAUCGCGACGCGGACCUUGGUCCCGGCGGCUCCGCGGCGGUGACACGAGCCCGCCUCAGCCGCCGCCUCAGUCUCCUGCCGCGCCGCCACCUUGCCCGCACCAUGGAGUUCUCGGAGAGGAAAAGAAGCAGGAAAUCCCAGAGCUUCAAACUGGUGAGCCGAGAUUAUCACCAUGAGGUGUAUAAAAUCUCAGAAUUCAGCAAUGAUGUUAAUGGGGAGACCAAAGAGACACAACCCAUUUACUUAGGAGACGAAAGCAUGGAAAUUAAAAAACAAAUUACGGGGAUGAGAAGAUUACUGAAUGACAGCACUGGAAGGAUAUAUCAGCGUGUCGGCAAAGAAGGAGAAAAAUUAAAACAAGAGCCGCAGGUUGUGGAUUUAGUCUGGCCUCAGCGGUCCAACUCUUCCACCGAGGCCUCACAGGGCCUCCACUCUAAUUCACGUGGGGCGUGGAAUGAACUACCAACCCAAAGCGGGCAGUUCUCAGGGCAGUCUGGUCCACGCUCCAGAACCUUCCAGACUCAGCCCCACAUCUCUGCAAGUUCCAAUGGAGAACUUCCAGGGGUGAAUUCAAUAGUCGGAUCCAACUGCUGUACUUGUAACUGCCAGUCAACCUUGCAGGCCAUUCUCCAAGAGCUCAAGACCAUGAGGAAAUUAAUGCAGUUUCAAGCAGUUGGAACUCAAAACAGACAACAACCCCCAAUUUCCCUUAUGUGCUCCCAGCGAACCGCCGUCUCACGCAAGAGAAAUAAAAAGAAAAAAGUGCUUCCGAAGACUGUGCAACCUGUGACGGCUGUGGAACCAAAGCCCAGUCCCUUGGAAACUGAGAAGAAGCCAGCAGCCUCGGCCACAAGGCCACCAGGUCUCCAAGCUGCAGAGCGCACCUCCACCGAGGAGAACCACGUCCUGGGAUUUGGCAUUGUUCUGGAAUCGCCGUCCUCAGAUAAGUGCAACUUGCUGAAGGCUUCGAUGUGUUUAUGCCCAAAUCUCAGCUGGACUCUAUACUGUCAAACUACACUCGCUCAGGAAGCCUUCUGUUUAGAAAACUGGUGUGUGCAUUUUUUGACGACAAGACUUUGGCUAACUCCUUACCCAACGGAAAGCGGAAAAGAGGGUUCAAUGACAACCGGAAAGGACUAGACCAAAACAUUGUGGGUGCAAUAAAAGUCUUUACAGAAAAUUACUGUACUGCGAAUCAUGUGGAUAAACUUCCUGGCCCCAGAGACUGGGUGCAGAUUCUGCAGGAUCAGAUUAAACUGGCCAGAAGAAGGUUGAAACGAGGCUCAGCAGAGGUAGCUGACGGUGAUGAAAGACUGGACCGCAUCUCUCUACCCCCAACAGGUCAUACAUUUGUCAUCAAGAGAGAGACCCCAGAGGACCCAGAACCAGGUUCCGUGGCCUAGACUUGCAUUCUGGAACAUUCUUCGUUUCCUCCAAGGUCCAUGUAGCAGCUACAGAUCCUGCAGUGUGGGUGUUCUAUGAUGGCUUGUCCUGUCCGAAUAAUUUCUUUGUAACAUGUGCUAUCACAACUCUGGUUUGGCAUAAUACUUAUUUAAAGAACCAUGCUUACAGUUGCUACCCUGUAAGCGUCCCGUGUGUGUGACCCACCGUAAAGAAGCCAUUCCCUUCCUGUCUCUGUCCGUUCACAGACUGGGUGUGAAGACAGCAGUCUUUCUAAACAUAUUUUAUUGUGAAUUGCUUAGCUGCAUGCAGAGAGGAAACCUUCUCUUCCAGGACUGACAGAGGCUACAAGGCAGCGCUAACUAGCCCCUCUUCAGCUUAGAGAAGGAAACAGUUGUUCUGAGAGACAGGAGAGCUCCUACCUGGCCAGUGAAAUCGUUUCUGACAUCAGUCAUAGUAACCCGGACAGACAUUUGGAACUGGAGAAGUACAAGCGAUGUAAGAAUCCUUAGGAAAUAAAAUCUUUCACAUAAUUUAUAAUGACGUGAUGACAAAAAAAUAAUAAUAACUCAAAGUAAGCAGCCAUCUGCUUGGGAGCCGUCAAGCAUUUAAACAUGGUUUAAACUGAGCAGCCUGGGCUGUGACCAUUUUCAUGUUCAUUCUGUAGUCUGUCUGGUCCCUCACCCGCCUGCCUUCUGCUUUUUGUAAGAAAAAAAAUCUGGCUUUAUUUUAAAGAAAUCUUUGCUGUGGGGAUAAUUGUUUUACAGACAUAUUUACCUCCACAUUUGUUUUGCUAAUGAAAUCAUUCAUUAAAAAUACCACCUUAGAAAGCCUUGCGUUUACACCGUAUUUAUGGUAUAAAGCAAACUGCCUUGAAUCUUGGGCACUUGACCCAAAGGCCAAAAAUAGCUGUUAAAGAAAAAAAAUGUGACUCUCAUCCACCAAACCCCAGGGAUAAAAACCUGCCAGGACAAAAGCUUAGCCUUUGCCCUACUCUUGGUGCAGCGAUGGGUUAAAGCCGACAGUGUGCUUCAAGGACUCGGUGCUUCAAGGACCAGUCCCACUCCGAGCUUUGCCAGUGAGAGAGCCGAGAGGUGGGUUGCCUAGGACCAAGGUACCCUUCGUGGCCAGCUGGCCAUAGAACCUGGAUAUCCUUGGGACCCUGUCCAUUGCACUGCACCAUGCCACACGGAACACUAAAGAUAGGAUCAGAACACUAUUCCACUGAGACCAGCUAGGGAAAGUGAUAGGUGAUAUCCCUGGAAUGUGACAAAGUCCGCUUCUAGGUGUUGCUCCUACAGUCAGUCUCCAGAGGAGAUAGCAACAUCUCACAGAUGCACCUUUUAUUUCUCUCCGCUCGGAAGCUAUGGGGACAGCGUGGAAAUCACUCCCAUCCUGCAGUCAGCUACCAUAGAUUUCCGUUUCCCGCUGGCCCUAAUCCCUGUGUUUUAUCCAGGGGUCUGAUGAGCUGCAGGCAGACCAGGACUCUCAUUCACUCUGCAGCAGGUCCUGAAAAAGAAUUGUCUUCUGCCUCCCAGGAUGAAAUACUGCUCAAGGGGACUAGAGAAGCUGAGUUAGCGCCUGUCACUUGAUUAAAUGAGGGUGAAUUUGUUUUCAGUACAGGGAGAACAUAGACUCACAACUGGAGGUCAGUUGGGUGUGAACAAUAAACCUUCAGAAAACACUUCCUUCCAAGCCUGGGGUGACAGCUUGGAGUUUUCAGUACUUGAGGAGGGGUGGGAUUGUUUGACUCACAGAUACGUGCAAUGGGUUCACAGGUUGGGAAGGCAGAGCAAAACUGUAACAGUACAACCAUACUUUGUAAGUUUACAUUGUAUUUGUGUUAACUUACCGUGACUACUGUUCAGCUUUGUUUAGAAACCCUUUUUAUAGGCUUUCUUAGCAAAAAAACAAAAAAGUCCAUAUCGAUGGAUGACACGUCUCAGUCUUCUGUACAUAUAUUUUAUUAAUAUGUAAAUAUUCAGAUUUUUAAAAUUAUAAUGUUCUUUUAAAAGAAUUCAAUGCAAAGCUAGCUGUGAAAAUGGUGUGUAACACUGUGUUGUGAUUUCAACUCCCAAGACGCCCUUUAUGUCCAUUCUGGAAAAAUACAAUAAAUUACUUUAAUUGAAUGCACAUGAGUCUUGCUUGCUACCCAGUCUUCCUGUUCCUUAUGAAGUCAAUGCUGUUCAUUAAUUAAAAGCUAUUUAUGAA